CCCUUAGAUGUUCUGGGCCGCACGCGCGCUACACUGACGAAUGCAACGAGCUUAUAACCUUGGCCGAAAGGUCUGGGUAAUCUCCAAAUUUCGUCGUGAUGGGGAUAGAUUAUUGCAAUUAUUAAUCUUCAACGAGGAAUGCCUAGUAAGCGCAAGUCAUCAGCUUGCGUUGAUUACGUCCCUGCCCUUUGUACACACCGCCCGUCGCUCCUACCGAUUGAAUGGUCCGGUGAAGCGCUCGGACCGCGUCCUCUUGACGGUUUUCCGUCGAUUGGCUGUGGGAAGUUCGUUAAACCUUAUCAUUUAGAGGAAGGAGAANUCGUAACA
rnacentral:rRNA from 1 species